GAGGCGGAGCUAAGACGCAAGGAAGGGAUGCGAGUGAGGGAAAGGAGGAGUCGAGGAGGGGUAUUGAGAUGAGGCUCAAGACUGAAAUAAUCCGCCCUCUGAAUAAGAGCAUGGAUCUUAGCCAAUCUGAUGUAAACAUGAAAAAGUUGUCAGAAAUUAGAUCAAUUGACAGUAAAAGUGAUAAAGAAAAUAACAAAGGCUACUCUCCUGUACUGUCCAGACAUGCUUGGACAACAGCUAACGACUCUGAUGACAAGAUGAAAGACCUCUCAGAGAGUAUUUGUGCUCCUUUGGGCUGGCUGGAUAGCAGAUACUUCCCAGAUAUUACUCUUCUUGAUGUUACGCGGGAUUCUGAGCUAUCACAAGUAGAGGACUUAUCCUCCACGGACGUGACACAGGAUAAAACACCAGUGGCUAAUCUGGAAAGCAACCAGCCUCCCUCAGAGUUCAGCGAACAAAGUGGGACAGAGCCUGACGGGUCAAAUAUGGUUCCAAGAGAAGAAUUGCCAAGUACUAGUACUACUAUUACUGGACAUGUCACCCACACCACAAUCUCCUUUAGCGAAAAAUCUGAUAAAAGUGUGGGGGGAAACGGAACGCGAACAUAUCUGGAAGUAACGCAGGAUAUUUCUUCAAGCAGUGUUUUUGAAAACGGUAGGCCCUCAUUGGAGCCCAUCGGAUCAAACAUGGUGAAGAUUGAAACAUCAGCUGAAAAAACAUUUGGCACCCAUCCUGCUAAUGUCACACAUGACUUAAGCUCCUCGAGUGACAUGUCUGCUCAGUGUGCUGCAUCACAGCUCUCUACCUCUGAUGGGAAAUGCAACACUAGGUUAAAGAACGUCACCUCUGAGCUUUAUGUUGAACCUGUGCUUGACUGUAAUUCUGUGGAAGCCAAUGACAAGUCACUUACCAACCAUGAUGCUGAAGUGACGACCAAGGAGACACAACCAAGCCCAAAAACAUCUGGGUCUGCUAACGGCACGUUUACCUCCCUCCAGCCCUCGCAAUCGAGUUCCUCUAUGGAUCUAAACGCCACUGCCGAAAUAACUAGCCCUCAGAACAAAACUCUGGAUCUCCCUCCAUCUGAUGUAAACAGCUGCAAAGCGAAGAGUCAGGUUACAGUAGACGCUACUUCAGUCAUUAACAACACCAUCGAAGGUUCCCAGAAUCCAAAUUAUUCCGCUGUAAAUGCCAGUGGUCCCGGUAACAUGGUGAACGUCACUUUUCCCCGACAUUCUCUUAAAACAUCAAGUGCCGGUACCAUUUUAGUGGAAUCUGGUGCAGGAACAUUUUGCCUCGAAAACAAUACUUUCGAUGCUAAACUUCUCCCUAAGCAGAACGGCACAAUGACUUUGUCAGAAUCAGGCCCACGUGACAGUCACCAGAGUACUUUUGACAAGCCCUCUCUUAAUGCAACCAGUAGCCCUAAAGCAAACACUUCUAAUGCACAACGUCCUAAACUGGUAGAACAGAAUAGGACUACAGAUACAGACCCUAUUGCCAAGAUGGGGUGAGUUAUCCGAGCGGCCCACAUCGUCCGACGUCCACAUCGUCCGACGUCCACAUCGUCCGACGUCCCGGUGGCCAGUCCGCCCCUGCUGCCACCCCUGAGAGCAAGUUGGAAGCCUAUACAGCUGUGAAUUCUGGAGCUGAUCGACGUAGAACUCAGGACCUUUCACAAUCGGGUCUGCCUGUGAUGGAUGGUUUUUCCGACAGUUUGGCCCAUCAAGGCAUGGAUACGUUCAACUUGGAAGAUACCCUUGAUUUGAAGGUGGAAUCUUUGAUCACUUCAACCCCAAUGCCUUCAAAAGAAGAGGGCAAAAUCUUAGGGGGAGUGAAAAAACUGUAUGAGGAUGGUCCCAUUAAACCGGAUGGUCAAGUGCCGUCUGAGGUCCCAUCGAACCCCGUCUGUGACCGGAAAACUUUCAUGGAGCUUGUAGCUGCAAAAUCCCUUUUGCCUCCUUUGAAAACUGCAUCCCAGUUGUUCAAACACAAGACAGCCUCCGCGCUUCCAGGAAGGUUUGAGGCGCGGCCAUUUGGACAGAUCAUGACGAGACAAAGAGCAGAGGCUCUUAGAAAUACUGCUGCUGCUGCUGCUGCUGCUGCUGCUGCUGCUGCUGCGGAUCCUCCACAGACUGCAGGAAUACCAAGCUCAUGCAAGUUACGUGCAACAACAGGAUCCAAGCAACCCAAUUCCGGCUUGCAGAGGCCGCAGUUGAGUGGAAUACCGACCGGGAUCCAGAGAGCUGCGACAGGUCUCAGACCACUAUCCAUGAGAAACGACACAUCAUCUUCUUCAAAGCAGCCAUUAACCAGAGGUGAACCUUUGCCACUAGCAAAGAGGAAGAAAAUGGAUACCACCUUCUCAAAUGGUAAUGCUGAAGCCUCAAAGUCUUCCUGUGAUACUGCAAACGGAAUCAAAAACCUCAAACGGCCCACAACCACCAAGAGAGCUUUGCCAGCCAAAAUCCAAAGGAAAGGCUGCGCCCACUGCUUGAAGAAAAGUAAAGAAGAAGAAGAAUGCUAAGAAUAUACAGAGCAUAAUAUAACAAGAGUUUCAGCAUUUGGGUCAUACAGUGCUAGUCCCCGGGGUGUCGUCAGAUCCUUUUUGAUGCUGGUUUUCCUAAACCAGAGAAAAGCUUUGGGUACAUUUGUUGUACUGUUUCCUUGGAUUCUAGGGAGACAUUAUCUAAUCUAGCAACCAAGUGUAGUGCUCGAGCAGCCGACCCGCUUAACAGUGGCAUGGCCAGCCCUUCAAUCACAUAUACAUCUUCAUUUAUGCUUUUAUCAUUUUUCCUCAGAGUGGCUUCAAACUUUCCUUUUACCUUCAAAAGCUCCUUUCCUGGCCCCUUCAGAACCCUUGUUGGGCUCAUCAGCCUGUUGAACUGGCUCUGAGUGUACAGUGUAUGAGGAACUGCAGUAACAUCUGCUCCAGUGUCGAUUUUAAACACUGCAUUGUAGCUGUCCACAUUGAUGUCUGUCAUCCAAGGAUUGCUCCUUAUACAGUGGCGUUUUCUCCCGGAGGCCAAGGGAAGCCAGGCUUCCCCUGUUAUUUCGGAUUGUAGUUAUAA